rnacentral:rRNA from 1 species
UACGGAGGGUGCAAGCGUUAUCCGGAUUCACUGGGUUUAAAGGGUGCGUAGGCGGGCAUUUAAGUCAGUGGUGAAAUACCUGAGCUUAACUUGGGAACUGCCAUUGAUACUAUUUGUCUUGAAUGUCGUGGAGGUUAGCGGAAUAUGUCAUGUAGCGGUGAAAUGCUUAGAUAUGACAUAGAACACCUAUGCGAAGGCAGCUAACUACGCGAAUAUUGACGCUGAGGCACGAAAGCGUGGGGAUCAAACAGG